rnacentral:misc_RNA from 1 species
GAUGAAGAACGCAGUGAAAUGCGAUACGUAGUGUGAAUUGCAGAAUUCAGUGAAUCAUCGAAUCUUUGAACGCACAUUGCACCUCUCGGUAUUCCGGGAGGUAUGCCUGUUCGAGCGUCAUUUGUACCCUCAAGCUCUGCUUGGUGUUGGGUGUUUGUUCCGCCUCUGUGUGUGAACUCGCCUCAAAACAAUUGGCAGCCGGCGUACUUGUUUCGGAGCGCAGCACAUUUUGAGAUCCAGAUCAACGUACAGCGGCAUCCAAGAAGCCUUAUUUAACGCUCUUGACCUCGGAUCAGGUAGGGAUACCCGCUGAACUUAAGCAUAUCAAUAAGCGGAGGA